UACGAAGGGGACUAGCGUUGCUCGGAAUCACUGGGCGUAAAGCGCACGUAGGCGGCUUUCUAAGUCAGGGGUGAAAUUCUGGAGCUCAACUCCAGAACUGCCUUUGAUACUGGAAAGCUUGAGUUCGGGAGAGGUGAGUGGAACUGCGAGUGUAGAGGUGAAAUUCGUAGAUAUUCGCAAGAACACCAGUGGCGAAGGCGGCUCACUGGCCCGAUACUGACGCUGAGGUGCGAAAGCGUGGGGAGCAAACAGGG
rnacentral:rRNA from 1 species